CACGUAGGGGGCAAGCGUUGUCCGGAUUUAUUGGGCGUAAAGAGCUCGUAGGUGGUUCGGUAAGUCGGGUGUUAAACCCCCAGGCUCAACCUGGGGACGCCACUCGAUACUGCUGUGACUAGAGUCCGGUAGGGGAGCGUGGAAUUCCUGGUGUAGCGGUGAAAUGCGCAGAUAUCAGGAGGAACACCAACGGCGAAGGCGGCGCUCUGGGCCGGUACUGACACUGAGGAGCGAAAGCGUGGGUAGCAAACAGG
rnacentral:rRNA from 1 species